AAAAGUGCACUCCGUACCAUUAAGGGUACAGACAGGCGCAGCCCAGCGCAGAGACGCGCGGACACGCACAGACACCCACACUCUCUGAUUCUGCAGGUACACUGUCUCUGAAAAGCAUAACAGGUUUCUGACACAUGCCAGAAAAGCAUAACAGAAUUCUGUUAUGCCCAGAAACAGAGACAGAGAGAUAAAAGGAGGAAUCAGGGAGAGAAGUGG
rnacentral:lncRNA from 1 species